ensembl:lncRNA
AAUGAGUGAUGAAGACUCCACAGAGAAUUGGAGUGGGGAGAUCAAGUCUGUCAGAAUGCUGAGAUUGCAGACAUGUGCCACAGUGUCCAGCAGACUGCUUGAACUUUAUGGAAGCAGGUACUGUUAACCUGCACCAGGAGCAGAGUGACCACAAGGAGAUCUCUGGGAGUUUGAUGAGAAUUUACUUGGGGACACUCUGCUGAGAUUCAGAUGUCUUAGGAGAUUGGUAAACAACAGAGGUUCAGAAUUUUUUUCUUCUUUGAUAUGUAUUAUGGAUUCUGUUUGAAGCUGUUUCCCCUCUCUCUUUUCUG